rnacentral:rRNA from 1 species
GAUGAACGCUGGCGGCGUGCCUAAUACAUGCAAGUCGAGCGAACAGAUGAGGAGCUUGCUCCUCUGACGUUAGCUGCGGACGGGUGAGUAACACGUGGAUAACCUACCUAUAAGACUGGGAUAACUUCGGGAAACCGGAGCUAAUACCGGAUAAUAUAUUGAACCGCAUGGUUCAAUAUUGAAAGACGGUUUUGCUGUCAUUUAUAGAUGGAUCCGCGCCGCAUUAGCUAGUUGGUAAGGUAACGGCUUACCAAGGCAACGAUGCGUAGCCGACCUGAGAGGGUGAUCGGCCACACUGGAACUGAGACACGGUCCAGACUCCUACGGGAGGCAGCAGUAGGGAAUCUUCCGCAAUGGGCGAAAGCCUGACGGAGCAACGCCGCGUGAGUGAUGAAGGUCUUCGGAUCGUAAAACUCUGUUAUUAGGGAAGAACAAAUGUGUAAGUAACUAUGCACGUCUUGACGGUACCUAAUCAGAAAGCCACGGCUAACUACGUG